CAAAAAUGACAACUCUGAACGUUAGAUAAUUUUACUUUUGGCUUAAACACAUUUUCUGCAAUCGUUAAUAUGGUGUCCAGGAUGUUUCUCUUGAGCGCACAACCCAAAGGGAAAUGAAUGAUACAAUUUCAAGCAGUUUGAGAUGCCCCCCUCCACCUCCCUGCUCACAGCCCCCAGACAAAUUGGCCCUUGAGGGCGGACAAGCUACUGGCCUACGGAAGAAAAGAGUUAAGAGCAGAGGCCAGGCCUGUCGUCAGAGGGUACUAAAGAGGGGAGGAUUUAAGAGCUCCCUGAGGACAGCACCAGCUUAGAAAGACACAAAGUGCUAAUGGGCAUAUUUAUCACUCCCUCCCUAACGAGCACAGACCUCAGGAAGAAAUACAGCCCGGAGGAGGGAAAGUGAGCUGCAUCAGCCUACAGGAGAAAGUAAGCACAGAAGACAGCUAACGAUCUGAAGUUAGUAACGGCUUCAACACAACUUCCAUAGAAAGGCCUUCCCGGCGCCCCCAAACUACAACAGGGUGCUGGCAGGUUCCCACCACGCCUCUUACUAUUUCGUCACUGCACCUGUCACAAUUCACAAGCUCAUGAAACUGCGACAAUGUUCUGGGUGUGUUUAGGUCCCCGCCCACCCCUCUGUGCAAGCCCAGGAACUCCAGGACCCUGUCUAUCCCCUUCCCUGCUGAAGACCCCAAGCCCAGUAAAGUUCUCUUAAAUGACUGCUGCUUCCAAGCAAAAACAUUACUUUUAAUAUUCCUUGUUGCUAAGCAAACUUUAUGUGCCUUCAUUUUGUGAAAAGAAAAUAACCCGAGCCAUUCGUGGUCUCUGGCUAAAGUGGGGGUGACUCCGGGGCCUCAUCUACCCCAGGGACACGCUUAGUGAUCCAAGGUGCCAGCAGGAGGCAGACAGCACAGGGAAGUCACCGCCCUCUCCCCUUCAAGCAGACAAGACAGCACAGGUGGCAAACUGAUGACCUUAACCUGGAUUAGCUGGAUCCACAAGAGCGAAAACUUUAAGGAAAUGGAAGGCGGGACAUCCUGUUUGAGGCACCUGUGGGUCCUUUAAUCCUCUUUAGAAAAGCACAGGUACAUCAUCGUGCACGCAAAGUGUUCCCACACACACAGAUCUGGUCUCUUUACACAACCUGUCUGAACAGGGAGGCCCUGCAGGGAGGGACUCUGCCCAGUUUACAGGCUGGGGAAGGUAAGCGGAGCCCAGAGGGACAACUGGGCCGGAGCACCUGCUGUGGGAGCCGCAGCCCUGAUCUACGGAGCCCGGAACAGGUUGAAGGAAGAGGAGGGACAGACCAGAAAGGACACCUUUCUCAUGAUUACUUGUGCUUUGUGUUGUGACAACAGUCCAGGCCUUCGGGAAAGGCAUGUUUCCCCUGCUAAGUUAUUGUUCUUCCAAAGUCAAGCCUCCACCAGAGAAGAAAAGAAUGUGCAAAUGUCAGAAGCAGGAAAAAACUGCCAGGAUACAGGCAAUCCUAAAAAUCAAACAGUGCCUUCAAUGGAGAGGCAGGCAAUAAACACAUGAAUGAACGAA